AAAUGUAACACUUUGCAAAUGCCCCUUGAACUUUUCUGCAUCUUCUCACUUUGCAAACACAAACCUCGUAAGAUUUGGAUCAUUAAGUAGUAACACAUUUAUAUACGUAUUGGAUAACUGUUUUUGUUUUAACUGUUUUAAUUUGAUUUAUUUAUUUGCCUGCAUUAGACCAAAACUAUCACCGCAAUCAGAGCUCAAGUCCUGUUUGUCUCUGCUGGAUUUGCAGACAAAGACUAAUUUUGUUGCCUAUUCUUUGCAAACUAGCUCAAGCUCAGGUAGGCAGGAUAGGAAGCGUACAUGAACUUAAAUCAUUUUAGUCUUGACUUUGACUGGGCCCCUUUUACCAGGUUGAAGGGUUUUAAUCCAAGCAAUUCUGUUGUCUGCAUUUUUAUGGUUGUCCUGCUGGAAGCAAAGUCUUUUGCAGCCUCUUUCAGGUCUUCCUCCAGGACUGCCCUGUGUUUAGCUCCAUGUUCCCAUCAACGCUGACCACUUUCCCUCUC